rnacentral:rRNA from 1 species
CCUACGGGUGGCAGCAGUGGGGAAUAUUGGGCAAUGGAGGCAACUCUUACCCAGCAAUGCCGCGUGAAUGAAGAAGGUCUUCGGAUUGUAAAGUUCUUUAAUUGGGGACGAAAAAAAUGACGGUACCCAAGGAAUAAGCCCCGGCUAACUACGUGCCAGCAGCCGCGAUAAUACGUGGGGAGCAAGCGUUGUUCGGAAUGACUGGGCGUACGGGGUGGGUAGGCGGUGUAGAAAGUUAGAAGUAAAAUACCUAGAGCUUAACUCGGGUGCUGCUUCUAAAACUGCUGUACUUGAGUGUAGUUGAGGUAGGAGGAAUUUCUGGUGGAGCGGUGGAAUGCUUAGAAAUUAGAGAGAACACCGGUGGCGAGGGCGGCUUUC